CACACAAAGUGGGACUUCCUUAUGACAAUAAUUUGUUUGGUUCUGUGAUUCUCUCACACCGCAAGUACAAGAAAACAUGUUUUGGUGUUGAUAACAAUGAUGGCUGCUAAUAACCUUGACUUAAGAGAUGCCAAGGAGGAAAGCUGUUCUCACCUCCAGUUCCAGGAAGUGAACUGUCUCAAAAUGCAGAAUCUAUCACAGUUUAGAAUCUACAUACCUACAAUAAAAGAGGGAAAAAAUUACAAGAGACUUCUGGUAAGGGAUGGAUGACUUUUCUAUCUCCAGUAUCUUGUGACAGGACAAGGUAGUUUCAAAUGAAAACAUGUAAGUAUUUUGGCCAAUUCUACUCCCUCUCUCUGUUGCCAUCUUUUUCUAUGCAGAAAGCCAAGCCCACGGAUAUUCUGAUUCCCUCUGCCUUUAAGGGGUAUCUAAGUUAAGGAGCUACACGAAUCAAGACAUACAAACACUGUGUGUAUCAGACUUGUUGAUGUACACGAACAUCACAAGUGACAAGGUCCUUUUCUGGAGAGUGGAGGAAUUGGUCUACGUUUGUUGGGCUGUAG
rnacentral:lncRNA from 1 species